rnacentral:rRNA from 1 species
GGCGAACGCUGGCGGCGUGCUUAACACAUGCAAGUCGAACGGUGAAGCGCCUUCCUUUUUGGUGGGUGUGGAUGAGUGGCGAACGGGUGAGUAACACGUGAGUAACCUGCCCCCUUCUUCUGGAUAACCGCAUGAAAGUGUGGCUAAUACGGGAUAUUCUGGGUCUGUCGCAUGAUGGGUCUGGGAAAGAUAUUGUUUCGGUGGGGGAUGGGCUCGCGGCCUAUCAGCUUGUUGGUGGGGUGAUGGCCUACCAAGGCGGUGACGGGUAGCCGGCCUGAGAGGGUGGACGGUCACACUGGGACUGAGACACGGCCCAGACUCCUACGGGAGGCAGCAGUGGGGAAUAUUGCACAAUGGGCGCAAGCCUGAUGCAGCGACGCCGCGUGAGGGAUGGAGGCCUGCGGGUUGUGAACCUCUUUCGCCAGUGAAGCAGGCCUGCCUCGUUUGUGGGUGGGUUGACGGUAGCUGGAUAAGAAGCGCCGGCUAACUACGUG